UUGGAACCAAGACAACACCAUCGUGAUGGAUGCCUUCCUCUCCAUCUCCUCCCCCACCGCCAUCACGCAUUACAAUUUGCUGCACACACUUUCUGCGGAGCCCCUUGCUAUCCCCUCUUCCUCUUCCUCUUCCUACCCCUCCUCUUAUUCCACUGUCACUACUUCUACAGUGCUGCCCCCUCAGUUCACCUCGGAUACGCUUCAGAAGCACCUCCACUCCCUCAUCAAUGGUGCUAGCGGAAAUGGACCUACGCCAUCUUCUGGCAGCCCUCCCCUGCCGCCAUCGUCGCCGGAGGCAUUCUCCCCAGUUGGGGAGACGGGUAUUACCGUGGAUGCGAGAAGGACAAAAAUAAGUACGGAGGUGAAAGGGGCGUCGAGUCCACAGAGAACCAAGAACACUACAAGCGGGUGCUCCGAGAGCUCAACGCUCUCAUCUCCGGCAGCGGCGGCGUCGAUGACUCCACAAACGAAGAGGUUAGCGACGCCAAGUGGUUUUUCAUUAUGUCGAUGAUGCAGAUGUUCGCUCCAGGCUGUGGGAUGCUCGGACAAACCCUCCUCCUCGGAUCUCUGAUGUGGCUGACGGCGGCAAGAGGCAUGGAGUCGGUGGCGCUCUGCGAGCGGGCAAGGCAGGCACGUAUGUUCGGGCUCCGCACCAUGACAUGUGUUCCCCUGGCCUACGGCGCUGUCGUCGAACUCGGCUCCACACAAGAGAUCUACCAGAGUGUUGAGUUCUUGAACAAGAUCAGAGCGCCGUCGUUGAACCCCUCUUACACGUCAUGGAUCUCCUUCCAAACCCAGACCUCAUCUCACACCCUCUCCGUCCAACUCCUCAUCUCACGCCCUCUCCGUCCAACUCCUCUCCGGCGGCGAACCCCUCUCUGCGAGCAUCUCCUCUGAACUCAUCUUCGCCAAAUGAUACUCUGCCGAAGAUGAGUGACAUUUCCUUUCCCAUUUUCUACGACAUUCAUCUUCCUCAGCCAGAGAAUUUGGAUUUGAAUUCUGUAAGAGGACUCAAUCAAGUGUUUUCGUAAGGGAGAAAUAUUCUUCUUUUGAGGAUCCCAUAGAAAGGGAAUUCAAAAUUUUGAAUCUGAUGGAGUUUAAUAGCAAAAGGAAAAGAAUGUCAAUUAUUGUACGGGAUGAAAUUGGGCAGAUUAUUCUCUUAAGGAAAGGUGCUAACAGCAUUAUUUUGGAUAGAUUGUCAAAGAAUGGAAGAAUGUUUGAAACAGAUACAAUAAAACAUCUAAAUGAAUAUGGGGAAGCAGGCCUACGGACAUUGGCACUGGCCUUCUGGUUUCUUGAGGAAUCUGAAUAUUCUGCAUGGAACGUUGAGUUUCUCAGAGCAAAAACUUCUAUGGAUAAUGAUUGGCUAGCUGAACUGGAGAGGGUUUCAGACAUUAUUGAGUAGGAUUUGAUUCUUGUUGGUGCAACUGCUAUAGAAGAAAAAUUACAGAAAGGAGUUCCUCAAUGCAUAGACAAAUUAGCACAAACUGGUCUCAAGAUGUGGGUUCUUACAGGUGAUAAGAUGGAGAUCGCAAUCAACAUAGGAUUUGCUUUAGUUUACUUAGAAAAGGCAUGAAACAUAUCUCGUAAGCCAUGGCAUGCCCUCACGAGUUCAACGGUAUACUUUCAUCUUAUCGUAUGUUGCUCAAUAAACCUUCAAUUUCUGUUGCAGUUCUUAUUUUAACUCUUAUGUCAUAUUUAUCUCGUCGGUACCUCAAUCCAGAUUUUCUAAUUAUUAUAUGGUGUGAACUGUGAUCCUUAUUUUCAGCUUUAAAAGUGGAAAUUUCUUUUGCAU